ensembl:snoRNA
AGCCGGGGAUGAUUUCUGUUUUUCUGACACCUCGUCUGAGGGCAGCGGGCGGCCGCGGCCACUGCUGACGCUUUACGGCUGAGGCUC